rnacentral:piRNA from 1 species
UACGGCUUUGGACUGCUCUCCAGU